GACGAACGCUGGCGGCGUGCCUAAUACAUGCAAGUUGAACGCAACAAAGACACCAGAGCUUGCUCUACCGUUUUUGUUGAGUAGCGAACGGGUGAGUAACGCGUGGGUAACCUGCCUUAUAGCGGGGGAUAACUAUUGGAAACGAUAGCUAAUACCGCAUAACAAUAGAGAUUGCAUAAUCUUUAUUUGAAAGUGCCAACUGGUACACUAUGAGAUGGACCCGCGUUGUAUUAGCUAGUUGGUAGUGUAAUGGACUACCAAGGCGAUGAUACAUAGCCGACCUGAGAGGUGAUCGGCCACAUUGGGACUGAGACACGGCCCAAACUCCUACGGGAGGCAGCAGUAGGGAAUC
rnacentral:rRNA from 1 species